rnacentral:rRNA from 1 species
GUUGUAUGGUUAAGCGACCAAGCGUAUACGGUGGAUGCCUUGGCAGUCAGAGGCGAUGAAGGACGUAGUAACUUGCGAAAAGCGUUGGUGAGCUAGUAACAAGCAUUUGAGCCAGCGAUGUCCGAAUGGGGAAACCCGGCAGCAUAAGCUGUCAUCAAUACGUGAAUACAUAGCGUAUUGAGGCGAACGAGGGGAACUGAAACAUCUAAGUACCCUUAGGAAAAGAAAUCAACCGAGAUUCCCCAAGUAGCGGCGAGCGAACGGGGAUUAGCCCUUAAGUCUUUGGGGUGUUAGUGGAAUGUGUUGGAAAGCACAGCGGCACAGGGUGAUAGCCCCGUACACGUAAACUAACCAGAGAUGAAAUCGAGUAAGGCGGCACACGUGAUAUGUUGUCUGAAUAUGGGGGGACCAUCCUCCAAGGCUAAAUACUCCUGACUGACCGAUAGUGAACCAGUACCGUGAGGGAAAGGCGAAAAGAACCCCUGUGAGGGGAGUGAAAUAGAACCUGAAACCGUAUACGUACAAGCAGUGGAAGCGGUUCUUGAGACCGUGACUGCGUACCUUUUGUAUAAUGGGUCAGCGACUUACAUUUAGUAGCGAGGUUAAGCGAAUAGCGGAGCCGUAGGGAAACCGAGUGUUAACUGCGCGUAUAGUUGCUAGGUGUAGACCCGAAACCCGGUGAUCUAGCCAUGGGCAGGUUGAAGGUUGAGUAACAUCAACUGGAGGACCGAACCGACUAAUGUUGAAAAAUUAGCGGAUGACUUGUGGCUGGGGGUGAAAGGCCAAUCAAACCGGGAGAUAUCUGGUUCUCCUCGAAAGCUAUUUAGGUAGCGCCUCGGACGAACACCUUUGGGGGUAGAGCACUGUUAAGGCUAGGGGGUCAUCCCGACUUACCAACCCUUUGCAAACUCCGAAUACCAAAGAGUGCUAUCCGGGAGACAGACGGCGGGUGCUAACGUCCGUCGUCAAAAGGGAAACAACCCAGACCGUCAGCUAAGGUCCCAAAGUAAUUGCUAAGUGGGAAACGAUGUGGGAAGGCUUAGACAGCUAGGAUGUUGGCUUAGAAGCAGCCAUCAUUUAAAGAAAGCGUAAUAGCUCACUAGUCGAGUCGGCCUGCGCGGAAGAUGUAACGGGGCUAAGCAAUUCACCGAAGCUACGGGUA